GAUGAAGAACGUAGCGAAAUGCGAUAAGUAAUGUGAAUUGCAGAAUUCAGUGAAUCAUCGAAUCUUUGAACGCACAUUGCGCCCGCCAGUAUUCUGGCGAGCAUGCCUGUUCGAGCGUCAUUUCAACCAUCAAGCCCCAGGCUUGUGUUGGAGCCCUGCGGCUGCCGCAGCCUCCCAAAACCAGUGGCGGGCUCGCUAUCACACCGAGUGCAGUAGUUUACUCUUCGCUCAGGGCGUGUGGCGGGUGCUAGCCGUGAAACCCCCAACUUCUCAAGGUUGACCUCGGAUCAGGUAGGAAUACCCGCUGAACUUAAGCAUAUCAAUAAGCGGAG
rnacentral:misc_RNA from 1 species